AGAGUUUGAUCCUGGCUCAGAGCGAACGCUGGCGGCGUGCUUAACACAUGCAAGUCGAACGCGCAGCAUUCUGUAGCAAUACAGGGUGUGGGCGCGUGGCGAACGGGUGCGUAACACGUGGAUAACCUUCCUUCAGGUGGGGAAUAACCCAGUGAAAAUUGGGCUAAUACCGCAUAACAUGACGAUGGCACAUGCUGUUGUCUUCAAAGGCGCAAGUCGCCAGAAGAGGGAUCCGCGGCCGAUUAGCUUGUUGGCGAGGUAAUGGCUCACCAAGGCAUUGAUCGGUAGCCGGACUGAGAGGUUGACCGGCCACACUGGAACUGAGACACGGUCCAGACUCCUACGGGAGGCAGCAGUGGGGAAUCUUGCACAAUGGACGAAAGUCUGAUGCAGCAACGCCGCGUGGGGGAUGAAGCUUCUCGGAGUGUAAACCCCUUUCGACCCG
rnacentral:rRNA from 1 species